rnacentral:lncRNA from 1 species
GACACUGCCGUUGUUCGGGCCAAGCAUUCUGCGCGAGUGGCUCUGCACCCCUGGCUGGGAGGCUGCCGGGGACUGCGCGCCUGGAGGAGUGGAUGUUGCCUUUGCAUCAAAUGCCCUUCUGUGACAACGAAACAUUUCUACUGAUAUAAAUGGGCUGCUUUAAAUGCGUUUAAAAGUUGAUGUGGCCACAACGUAGUCAGUGGAGGAAAGGGUUUUUUGCAGUUGUGUUGUCACAGCGAGCUGGAACAUGCACAGGGCAAUGAGGGCUGUGCAGGUGAGGACAGAUCUUGCCCCUACCUUCUGUCUGGCUGUUUUUGUAUGAUGCUGUUUGGAUCAGUAAAAAGGAAGAGUUUUUCACCCUGUAUUUCAUCUAGAUGUGUUUAGCAGUGAACAAAGAAUUUUUUUAAAAGAGAAAAUUGUGAUUUCCUGUCUAUCAUUUCUUCUCCCUCUUAAUGAAAGGUGCCCUUGAGUGAACAGAAGUGUGACAAGGACGUACCUUGAGUGACAAACAUUGAGCUCUGACGUCAGGAUGGACUGUCCUAUGUUUCUAAUUAAUGACUUUCCUCUGCUUACAAGUUCUGAAAAGAGUGACCUCUGCCCAGUGAAAGCUGUUUCCUGUUGUCUUUCUGGCACUGUGAUGGCUCUUCUAUGUGCUGCCAAGGCUUUAUGUUCAGUCAAGAUAUGUGAGUAUUGAAAAUUGUCUUGGUAUUUUCCUAUUCAAAAAAUAACUGUAGGUAAGUCAAUAAUAGGUUGAUUAGCUUUCUCUGGAGAUGUACCUUUUUAGUGUCUACUUAUUGAUUUCUUCUUCUAGCUACAGCACAAUAAAAUAAAAUGACAGAAACA